rnacentral:rRNA from 1 species
CCUACGGGUGGCAGCAGUGGGGGAUAUUGCACAAUGGGGGGAACCCUGAUGCAGCGACGCCGCGUGGGUGAAGGAGUGCUUCGGCAUGUAAAGCCCUAUCGGCAGGGAAGAAGCAAGACGGUACCUGACUAAGAAGACCCGGCUAACUACGUGCCAGCAGCCGCGGUAAUACGUAGGGGGCGCGCGUUAGCCGGAUUAACUGGGUGGAACGGGAGCGUAGACGGCCAUGCAAGCGGGGGGGGCAAGCCCUGGGCCCAACCCCGGGACUGCCCUUGGAACUGCAUGGCUGGAGUGCGGGAGGGGCGGGCGGAAUUCCUGGUGUAGCGGUGAAAUGCGUAGAUAUAAGGAGGAACACCGGCGGCGAAGGCGGCCUUCUGGCCCGCGACUGACGUUGAGGCUCGAAAGCGUGGGGAGCGAACAGGAUUAGAUACCCUUGUAGUC